AGAGUUUGAUCCUGGCUCAGAAUGAACGCUGGCGGCGUGCCUAACACAUGCAAGUCGGAUGUGCCCGCAAGGGUGCAUGGCAGACGGGUGAGUAACGCGUGGGGAACCUACCUCUUUGUGGGGAAUAACGUUCCGAAAGGAAUGGUAAUACCGCAUGAGACCUUCGGCUGGGAUGCUGGAGGUGAAACCCGGGGACCGUAAGACCUGGGGCAAGGAGAGGGUCCUGCGUCUGAUUAGCUAGUUGGCGGGGUAAUGGCCCACCAAGGCGACGAUCAGUAGCCGGCCUGAGAGGGUGAUCGGCCACACUGGAACUGAGACACGGUCCAGACUCCUACGGGAGGCAGCAGUGGGGAAUUUUGCGCAAUGGACGAAAGUCUGACGCAGCAACGCCGCGUGGGUGAUGAAGGUCUUCGGAUUGUAAAACCCUGUCGUCAGGGACGAAGGUUGGGGCUUUAAUAGAGUUUCAACUUGACGGUACCUGGAGAGGAAGCCCCGGCUAACUCUGUGCCAGCAGCCGCGGUAAUACAGAGGGGGCAAGCGUUAUUCGGAAUUACUGGGCGUAAAGGGCGCGUAGGCGGUUCUUUAAGUCGGAUGUGCAAUCCCCGAGCUCAACUUGGGAACUGCAUCCGAAACUGGGGAGCUAGAGUGCUGGAGAGGGUGGUGGAAUUCCACGUGUAGCGGUGAAAUGCGUAGAGAUGUGGAGGAACACCAGUGGCGAAGGCGGCCACCUGGACAGUAACUGACGCUGAGGCGCGAAAGUGUGGGCAGCAAACAGGAUUAGAUACCCUGGUAGUCG
rnacentral:rRNA from 1 species